AAGGCUGGUUUUACAGUCACGCGUUUCGGCAGCGCCGUCGGAGCGCGCGCGCUCGGAUAUGUAUUGGGGUAUUAGUAGCGUUUCAAAUUCGCGCGCUUGAGCAGCGCCGUUCGUUGAACGCGUCCUAUUCGCGCGGCGCGGUCGAAGCGCGCGCCGCUCGUGCGCUUCUACGGCCAUUGUGCGUUUUAGUCUCACGCCGUUGAGACGUGCCGUUAGGUACUGUUGUGUACAAAAUGAAUCACAUCGAUACGGGUCGAGUAAUUUGAUUGAU